UUUCGAGUCGCUGGCCUGCAGCUUCCCGGUGGUUUCCCGAGGCCUCCUUGCUUCCCGCUCUCCGAGGAGCCUUUCAUCCGAAGGCGGGACGAUGCCGGAUAAUCGGCAGCCGAGGAACCGGCAGCCGAGGAUCCGCUCCGGGAACGAGCCUCGUUCCGCGCCCGCCAUGGAACCGGAUGGUCGCGGUGCCUGGGCCCACAGUCGCGCCGCGCUCGACCGCCUGGAGAAGCUGCUGCGCUGCUCGCGUUGUACUAACAUUCUGAGAGAGCCUGUGUGUUUAGGAGGAUGUGAGCACAUCUUCUGUAGGUAAGUAAUUACGGUUUGAUGUAUAUAGUACAACUGUAUUUUUUACUAGAUAACAAUCAUGUAAUCUUGUUGAUAAUAAUGGUACUUGAUGUUUGUGUAACUUUCAAAGUCUGCAAAGUAACCUACUGUACGUUAUCUUAGUUUGAUCUUUAAAACUGUGUCUUAAUUCACAAAUAAGAAAACCAAAGCUCAAAGAGGAUGACUUGUCCAAGUUACAAAGCUUAGUAGACAGCUUUGCCAAAUUGGAGGAAAAAAAUUAAUACCUUU
rnacentral:sRNA from 1 species